CCUACGGGAGGCAGCAGUGGGGAAUAUUGGACAAUGGGCGAAAGCCUGAUCCAGCAAUGCCGCGUGUGUGAAGAAGGCCUUCGGGUUGUAAAGCACUUUUAUCAGGAGCGAAAUCUGGUGGGUUAAUACCCUGCCAGUCUGACGGUACCUGAGGAAUAAGCACCGGCUAACUCCGUGCCAGCAGCCGCGGUAAU
rnacentral:rRNA from 1 species